rnacentral:rRNA from 1 species
GACGAACGCUGGCGGCGUGCUUAACACAUGCAAGUCGAACGGAAAGGCCCUGCUUUUGUGGGGUGCUCGAGUGGCGAACGGGUGAGUAACACGUGAGUAACCUGCCCUUGACUUUGGGAUAACUCCAGGAAACUGGGGCUAAUACCGGAUAGGAGCUCCUGCUGCAUGGUGGGGGUUGGAAAGUUUCGGCGGUUGGGGAUGGACUCGCGGCUUAUCAGCUUGUUGGUGGGGUAGUGGCUUACCAAGGCUUUGACGGGUAGCCGGCCUGAGAGGGUGACCGGCCACAUUGGGACUGAGAUACGGCCCAGACUCCUACGGGAGGCAGCAGUGGGGAAUAUUGCACAAUGGGCGGAAGCCUGAUGCAGCAACGCCGCGUGCGGGAUGACGGCCUUCGGGUUGUAAACCGCUUUCGCCUGUGACGAGGCGUGAGUGACGGUAAUGGGUAAAGAAGCACCGGCUAACUACGUG